UUUGAAGCCCACAUAUAGUGGAAUAUAAAUGUGCUGAGAAGAGGACUUUUCUGAAUCUCACGAUUUUGGUGGUGUAACCUGCAACAUUAUGUUUGCUCUUAAGGCUGUUUCUACUUCUGUUUAGAAGGCAACCCAGCUGAGAGAUAGAGUUUCAGUGACAUGAAGAGUGUGACGUGAAUAAUGCCGUGUGUAUGCAUACAUUUCCCUUCCAAUUCUGCUUGAUGCCUUACUAAAUGCAUCACCCAUAUGUUAAAGGAAAUUUAUCUAAACAAGUGGAGAAAUGCUGUUGGUUGCUG
rnacentral:lncRNA from 1 species